AUAAUAUUAUAUGAUGUUUUAUCAUUGUAUAUAUUACAUGUUUUAGUAAUUAAAAUACAAUAUUUCACGUCAUAUAUACAAAAUACAAUGAAAUAUGUACACUUGAAUUUGGCUAUAUAAACUCUAAAACCUGCAGUUUUCAACAAGCAUCAUGGCUAAGCAGACACUUUUUAAGGACUUAUUAGUGUCCGUUAUUUGCAGAGUUAACUGUUUUCAACAAUAAAUUAAAUAAACGAUAACAUUUAGACAUUUAACUGUGAGAUGCUGUACGAGAUUUCCGCCAUAACAAAGAAUUAAUAUUGAUUCGUUAAUGUUGGGCCAAAACAUUUUAGCCAUCAACGAAACUAAGAUAUUAAGGAUUCGUGUGAAAGUGAAAAAAUGAUUAAUUGCAUCGUUAUACAUUUAUAAUUUAUAAUCAAU